rnacentral:rRNA from 1 species
CACGUAGGGCGCAAGCGUUGUCCGGAAUUAUUGGGCGUAAAGAGCUCGUAGGCGGUCUGUUGCGUCCGCUGUGAAAACUCGGGGCUUAACCCCGAGCCUGCAGUGGAUACGGGCAGACUAGAGGUAGGUAGGGGAGAAUGGAAUUCUCGGUGUAGCAGUGAAAUGCGUAGAUAUCGAGAGGAACACCAGUGGCGAAGGCGAGUCUCUGGACGACUCCUGACACUGAGGCACGAAAGCUGGGGGAGCAAACAGG